rnacentral:rRNA from 1 species
GACGAACGCUGGCGGCGUGCUUAACACAUGCAAGUCGAACGGACCAAUUUAGCUUGCUAAAAAGGUUAGUGGCGAACGGGUGAGUAACACGUGGGUAGCCUGCCCUUUAGACGGGGACAACACUGCGAAAGUGGUGCUAAUACCGGAUAAGCUCCUUUGCUCGCAUGGUGAAGGAAGAAAGGUGGCCUCUAUUUAUAAGCUACCGCUAAAGGAUGGGCCUGCGUCUGAUUAGCUAGUUGGAGUGGUAACGGCACACCAAGGCAACGAUCAGUAGCCGGUCUGAGAGGAUGAACGGCCACACUGGGACUGAGACACGGCCCAGACUCCUACGGGAGGCAGCAGUGGGGAAUUUUCCGCAAUGGACGAAAGUCUGACGGAGCAACGCCGCGUGAGUGAAGAAGGCCUUCGGGUUGUAAAGCUCUUUUGUUAGGGACGAAUGUGCAGGUUGUAAAUAAUGACUUGUAAUGACGGUACCUAAAGAAAAAGCCACGGCUAACUACGUGCCAGCAGCCGCCGUAA